UGGGGUGUAGCUCAGUGGUAGAACAUUUGCCCAGUAUGCAUUAGGUCCUAGGUUCCAUCCCCAGCACUGCAA
rnacentral:tRNA from 1 species